rnacentral:rRNA from 1 species
CAGUAGCCGCGGUAAUACGUAGGUGGCAAGCGUUGUCCGGAAUUAUUGGGCGUAAAGCGCGCGCAGGUGGUUUAAUAAGUCUGAUGUGAAAGCCCACGGCUCAACCGUGGAGGGUCAUUGGAAACUGUUAAACUUGAGUGCAGGAGAGAAAGGUGGAAUUCCUAGUGUAGCGGUGAAAUGCGUAGAGAUUAGGAGGAACACCAGUGGCGAAGGCGGCUUUUUGGCCUGUAACUGACACUGAGGCGCGAAAGCGUGGGGAGCAAACAGGAUUAGAUACCCCGGUAGUCCCUGUCUCUUAUAC